AACGAACGCUGGCGGCAUGCCUAACACAUGCAAGUCGAACGAGACCUUCGGGUCUAGUGGCGCACGGGUGCGUAACGCGUGGGAACCUGCCCUUAGGUUCGGAAUAACUCCCCGAAAGGGGUGCUAAUACCGGAUAAUGUCUUCGGACCAAAGAUUUAUCGCCUUUGGAUGGGCCCGCGUUGGAUUAGCUAGUUGGUAGGGUAAGAGCCUACCAAGGCGACGAUCCAUAGCUGGUCUGAGAGGAUGAUCAGCCACACUGGGACUGAGACACGGCCCAGACUCCUACGGGAGGCAGCAGUGGGGAAUAUUGGACACUGGGCGAAAGCCUGAUCCAGCAAUGCCGCGUGAGUGUUGAAGGCCUUAGGGUUGUAAAGCUCUUUUACCCGGGAUGAUAAUGACAGUACCGGGAGAAUAAGCUCCGGCUAACUCCGUG
rnacentral:rRNA from 1 species